AGUCAGCAUGACCUUUAUAUUCCAGGGCUACACACACGCUAACAAUGGACAGUACAACAGGUUGCCAAGCCGCGAGGCGGAGCCAAUCCUCUAAAGCUGUCCUCAGUUCAGAUUGCAGGCUGAAACUCGCCUGCAUGAAGUUGGAGUUGCUAGUAACCGCAGGUCAGCUAUACUGCGGUGAAUACGUUCCCGGGGAUUGUACACACCGCCCGUCAAGUCAUGGAAGCUGGCAACACCUGAAGCCGGUAUCCUAACCCGUAAGGGAGGGAGCUGUCAAAGGUGGGGUUGGUGACUGGGACUAAGUCGUAACAAGGUAACCGU
rnacentral:rRNA from 1 species